rnacentral:antisense_RNA from 1 species
AGUCUCCCCGGGAAACAGACGAGCGCACCUGAGCUGAGUUCUGAGCUCCAGCGUUUGGGGCUAGAAGUUGCGGACUAGUAGCUGAGGCAGCACGGGAGUGUAGGCGCGCGGGGUCGUUGCCGGGGGCACAGAGUGAGAACAAGCAAGGGAGCCCUGCUGAAUUGCAGCUUAGGAAGCCCUGAAUCCUGGAGACGGAGUUUUGCUCUUGUUGCCUAGGCUGGAGAGCAAUGAUGCGAUCUCGGCUCACCGCAACCUCCGCCUCCAGGGUUCAAGCAAUUCUCCUGCCUCAGCCUCCCGAGUAGCUGGGAUUACAGCAGUGAAGGCAGUGAGGAGCUGUGGUGUGAUCCAGGAGGCUGAGAAUUAUGCAGUGGGUGCUGUCACCUUGAAGACAUCAGCGUGAUCAGGCAGAUCAUCAUGGUACUGCAUUUCCUGGACACGAUCUUAAUUUUCUUAAUACCUCCGCUGACAUUUCAAAUAGCGUCUCUAAUGCCCCAGAGACUUUUAUGCCCCUAAGGUAGUUUUCUUUCUUUUGUGAAGCAGAAGAGGGGAAAUUGUUAAAGGGAAUUAUUUUAACUAAAUUUA